rnacentral:rRNA from 1 species
GACGAACGCUGGCGGCGUGCUUAACACAUGCAAGUCGAACGGAAAGGCCCUGCUUUUGUGGGGUGCUCGAGUGGCGAACGGGUGAGUAACACGUGAGUAACCUGCCCUUGACUUUGGGAUAACUUCAGGAAACUGGGGCUAAUACCGGAUAGGAGCUCCUGCUGCAUGGUGGGGGUUGGAAAGUUUCGGCGGUUGGGGAUGGACUCGCGGCUUAUCAGCUUGUUGGUGGGGUAGUGGCUUACCAAGGCUUUGACGGGUAGCCGGCCUGAGAGGGUGACCGGCCACAUUGGGACUGAGAUACGGCCCCGACUCCUACGGGAGGCAGCAGUGGGGAAUAUUGCACAAUGGGCGGAAGCCUGAUGCAGCAACGCCGCGUGCGGGAUGACGGCCUUCGGGUUGUAAACCGCUUUCGCCUGUGACGAAGCGUGAGUGACGGUAAUGGGUAGAGAAGCACCGGCUAACUACGUG